CUUACAAUUUUCUUAAAUUAAAAAAAAAAAAACCCUACAAAAACUUUCCUCCCUCAUUUCUAAUUUUUCCAACCGCCGCCACCACACCUCCUGAAACCCUAACACUUCACUUUCCUCUUCCAUUUUCGCCACUGAACCACCGAUCUCCUCCAGCCCACCUCACUGCCUCCACAAUCUUCUUCUCCGGAAAACCAGACCAAAACCCCAACUUUUCCAGUUUGAAAAAACCCAACAACAACGAUGUUAUCUCCACGAAGCUUCAAGACCCGACAACCGCUAGUCCUUUCCACUUUACCCUUUUUUGAUAUUUUGUUUGUUCUUUGCUGGUUAUGAGUGAGCUCAAAGUUCCACAAACAAUGAGCUUGAAGAUCUGAACUCCAUCUCCGGCAUGGCUCCAACUCUGUUGAACCAAAAUCGAAGCGCCGCGGCGACUCUACUCUUAUGAACAACAACCAGCCGUCACGAAGAUAAAUCUGUCACCGUGACGUUGUGCUAGAAGUAUGAAGGAAUGUACUCUUACUAGUCUAGUGGGAAGUAUCUAUAAUAUCAUCGCUAAGUUGCUUUCUGUUAGACUCGGGAAAUUGUUGGAAGAAACUGUAUCUACUUCGUGAAAUGUUUUUGUGGAGGUUAGACCGAUUCUAGAUGUAAUGCUGGUGGAAAAUAAAGUGGUGGACUUUGAGAGAAACCAACGAGUUUCAGGUGUGUUUUGCAAACUUGAUCUUGAAAAGGUUCAUGAUCAUGCGAACUAUAAAUUCCUAGAUUCUAUUAUGUUUCAAAUCAGAUUUGGGGAGAAGAGGAGGAAAUGGAUUUAUUUUUGCAUCUCUUCGGUGAAGCUUUUUAUGUUGGUGAAUAGUGACUCGUGUGGUUUUUUGGAUGUUCGAGUGGUUCAAUGUUGUUUAUUAUUGUUAUUAUAGUGUAAAAUAGGAUGAUGGACGAAGUUGUUUUAAGGGGUUACCUAAUGUAUUUCAGUGUUGAAGUUAGAUCUAGGAAUAGUCUUAGUGUCUCAUUUGUUAUUUGCAAAUAAUACCAUGAUUUUAUAUGAUACAUUUGAGACCUAGUUGGAUUGUUU